UACGUAGGAGGCAAGCGUUGUCCGGAAUUACUGGGUGUAAAGCGCGUGUAGGCGGCAGGCCAAGUCUGUGGUGAAAUCGCUCGGCUCAACUGGGCGGGGUCCAUGGAAACUGGUCAGCUGGAGGACGGUAGAGGUGAGUGGAAUUCCCGGUGUAGUGGUGAAAUGCGUAGAGAUGUGGAGGAACACCAAUGGCGAAGGCAGCCUUCUGGGCCAACACUGACGCUCAUGCACGAAAGCGUGGGGAGCAAACAGG
rnacentral:rRNA from 1 species